GACGAACGCUGGCGGCGUGCUUAACACAUGCAAGUCGAACGGAAAGGCCCCUUUGGGGGUACUCGCGUGGCGAACGGGUGAGUAACACGUGAGUAACCUGCCCUUGACUUCGGGAUAACUUCAUGCAACUGGGGCUAAUUCCGGCUAGAAAUGCUUGCUGCCUGGAGGGGGUUGGAAAGAUUCGGCGGUUUGGGAUGGACUCGCGGCUUAUCAGCUUGUUGGUGGGGGAGGGGCUUACCUAGGCUUUGACGGGGAGGCGGCCUGGGAGGGCGACCGGCCACAAUGGGACUGAGAAACGGCCCAGACUCCUACGGGAGGCAGCAGGUGGGAAUAUUGCACAAUGGGCCGAAGCCUGAUGCAGCAACGCCGCGGGCGGGAUGACGGCCCUCGGGUUGUAAACCGCUUUCAGCAGGUGCGAAGCUUGUGGUGACGGUACCUGCAGAAGAAGCACCGGCUAACUACGUG
rnacentral:rRNA from 1 species